CCUUCCGUGCUCAUAAAAAAGUUUCUAAAAUUAAUUCUAAGGAAUUUGACAGGGCACGGCGCUUUAUCGAGCUUCUCGCCGGCGACCUUCACGAUGGCGAUGCUCCUGCACGAUUCUCUCGUCGCUCGUCGUUCAUCCUCUGACUCGCGCUGUCGCGAACAGAGAAAGUGGAAAUAAUGAGCGAAAACGUUCGGAACGCGAAGUUAAUGUAACGUAACCAGACGGGAUCAGAGCUGGAGCACGUGUCGGAUAUAAAUAAUUCCAAAAUGUGGUCGUGUCGCUCGUGCAAUGUUCCACUGUUCCUGAACGGAGAUACGGCGGUGUCUUUGUAAGCGCGGAAACUUCUACCUUCAAACUCGUCUAGAAAAUUCCAUUUUCGCUUUGUAGAUAUGUUUCGGUAUAGUAAAAUGCCACCGCAGAUUUACGCUGCGUCGUUUCUCGUGUUUCAUACGCUAAACUCGAAUACGUGGACUUUCCAAUUGGUUGCUUACAGAUGUAGAUAUUUUGCUAUUUCUUUUUGUUCUUCCUUUUUUUCUUCUCUUUUUUUAGGUCUGUACGUAUGUGCGUGUCAGCUCAAAGAAAUAGAGUUGACCUUGAAAUCUUUGAAACGUCUUCGCAUCCGCGCCACGUGACGUACCAUUAGAAAGCGUUUAAUUUUACCUGACGAAAUUUUUCUCCGCGUUUUGUCGUCGCAGCUCUCCCGAUUAUAGAGAAACCUAGAAACGUCGCAACGAUAUCGAUAUCGGUAUCUAAUUAAAUCUGAUCGUCUUUUCUUGUAUAUCUCUUUACUAGAAGAAAAGCUAGAAGAAAAAAGGAGGUUUAUCAUGAUUUUAGAAAAGCUUAUAUUUACGAUAUAAUCUUAUAUUAUUAUACCAACACGUACAUAACGACGCGUGCAACGACGUGCACGAUACGAUAUUUAUCCUGGCGGUGAUUUUCGACCUACCGUGUUAAUCGUAGAAUUAAAAGCGACGUCGUAAAAAUUGGUCUGUCGCAGCUGUAAUUUACAAUUAGUUCGUGAGUGUACAAUUUUACAAUUAGAGUGGCGCGUGAAACAUUGUGAGCAGAUAAUUGUCGAAUUUAUCACAGUUCGAUGUUUCCAACACUCGCAGCGAAUGUUCCUCGCCGCGUUCCUCAUUCUUUGGUUUCUUCUUAAUUUCACGAACUGCGCAGCAAAUUCGACAGCAGCUGGCAGCCACCACCGAAUCCCGAAGUAAUUAGGCGAAUCAGCGUCAACGUGCUUACAUAAUCGCUGUAGAUUCGAGUCGUAAAACGUUGCGAGACGACACCCUCUGGCCACCUCAAACGACCAAUACACGAACACGCAAACGACAAACUCAAUUGCACCGAAUUGCUUCGCAACGAGAGGAGGAGGCAGUCGUUAUAAAUAAAUUUGAGGCAGCUCGGUGCGUCUCGUAGAAAAAUCUCGACCGUCUAUUCACGAAAGAGGCACAGAGUUUCUAGCGUUUUUCGCGUGGUUCCUCGUGCUCGACCCUGAUUAUUUAUAGGUGGUAGAAUUUGCAUCGAGAAAGCCAAGUUAUGACGAUAAGCGAACGUCCGACGAAGUGAUAAUCAGAAAAUUGUUUCUAUGGUCCGGGAACAACAAACGAUUUAACGCGAUAAUUGAACGGAUUUUAUAAUAAUUUACAAAAAUGCAAAUAAACUGGAUAACAUUAGAACGUUUUGAUAUCGAGAUGGAUAGCAACGAUCGAUGAAGGUUUAUCGAAAUAGCGAACCAAAGAAGUAACAGCGAAAUUAACGAAAUACCAGGGAUAUGGUUUAUUUUUCAUAAGAGAAAUUCGAGCAACCUCGGACGAUAAAAAGGGGAAGUUAUGCCAGCCAUCUGGAGAAGGUCGAGUGCUGGCGCCUAACCAAGGUCACGGAUAGAGGAAUUUACGACCUUUCGGGUGUUCGACGAACCCUCUUUUGUGCCUCCGCUUGAAAUACCUUUCACAGAUUUCACCUGCCUACUAUUAUAUAAAAUGUUCCAUUGUUGAUUGUAAACAAAAGUUAGUAGGUGCAACUUAAUGAAUAGAAAGUCUCAUUCAUGGCUCGAUUUAAAGAAAACAUUUUGGCUUUGUGUGGCUCGUUAAGCGUUUCGCUCUGCUAUUAUUAUUUUGUUCGCAGCAGAUACAAGUUUACGCGCUUACGUUUAUGUAAACAAAUAAUUCAUCGUUCGAAGGAUUUAUUUAUAAAGCGGUAGAUUUUAUUUUAUUUAUCGAAGGAACAUCCGCCGGUGAAGUAAAUUGUU
rnacentral:lncRNA from 1 species